CAAAAUCCUGAUUACAAAAUCAAAAAAUAAUAAAUUAAAACCUAAAAUAAAUAAACCCAUUACACUAGCCCAAACCCUAACCCAAAACCUAAAUUUAAUUUGGCCCACUAGCCUAAAUACCCCUAGCCCAAUAAGCCCAACCCAAACUAAAAACAGAACCAAAAACCCUAGCAGCAUCCAGCUCCUAGCGCAGCAGCAACCAAGCCCUCCCCUGCGCGUGCUGCGCCUCCGCACGCGUACGUCCCUCUGAGCUUGUACCUGCACAGCAAAAAUGGCAACAAACAGCACAGGCAAGGAAAAAAAAAGAACAAGAAAAUCAAAAAUCGCAAAUCAAGGCCAGCAGAUAACAGAAUAUAUUUCUAUUUUCUUGUUUCAUUUUGGCUAUAAAAAGCUAUUGAAAAUUUGUAAAAAGGGGAUUCACAAAUCAAAUAAAAAAAAAGAAUUGAUAUCACAAGCAGAGACUUUAGAUUUAAGGUAGAUUUUGUUUUUUUUUUCUCUUUUUUGGUUUCUAUUUUCGAUUAUUUUUUUUAAAUAAUACAAUAAGUAGUAAAGAAAAGAAAAUAGAAGGGGGUACUCGCCGGAAUGAUCCCGCGCGUUCUUCGUCAGCGUCGAGCACCAUCUAUGAUGGAGUCGCGGCGCAGAGACGUGGACUGGUGGCGGCAGAACCUAGGGCCGAAACCCUAAUAGAGGAAAUUUUAAA
rnacentral:lncRNA from 1 species